rnacentral:rRNA from 1 species
UACAGAGGGGGCAAGCGUUGUUCGGAAUUACUGGGCGUAAAGGGCGCGUAGGCGGCCUGCUAAGUCGAACGUGAAAUCCCUGGGCUCAACCCAGGAACUGCGUCCGAUACUGGUUGGCUUGAAUUCGGGAGAGGGAUGCGGAAUUCCAGGUGUAGCGGUGAAAUGCGUAGAUAUCUGGAGGAACACCGGUGGCGAAGGCGGCGUCCUGGACCAACACUGACACUGAUGAGCGAAAGCCAGGGGAGCAAACGGG